GCCUUAUAUGUGGCUUGCAGAAAAUCUGUUCCAACUGUGAGCAAAGGGACUGUUGAAGGAAACUAUGUAUCUUUAACUAGAAUCCUGAGAUGUUCAGAACAGAGCUUAAUUGAAUUUUUUAACAAGAUGAAGAAGUGGGAAGACAUGGCAAAUCUACCCCCACAUUUCAGAGAACGUACUGAGAGAUUAGAGCGAAAUUUCACUGUAUCUGCUGUAAUUUUUAAGAAAUAUGAGCCCAUUUUUCAAGACAUAUUUAAAUAUCCCCAAGAGGAACAACCUCGUCAACAAAGAGGAAGAAAACAACGGCGGCAGCCCUGUACCGGUGUCUGAAAUUUUCCAUUUCUGUUGGGUGCU